AAUUUAUCUUUUUUGUAUAAUGCUAUAUUUUUUUUGUGUUAGAAGAGCAGAUCCGCCGAAUUUAAGCAUAUAAUUAAGCGGAAGAAAAGAAAAUAACAAUGAUUUCUUUAGUAACGGCGAGUGAACAAGAAUCAAAGCUCAUCAGUUUAAUCCUGAACAUUGAUUGUUGGGAAAUGUCUGGUUAUUAAACAAUAUUCUUUUUGUAGUGUUUUACAAAAAUGUUACAUUGAAAUAAGCAGGAAUGCUUUUCCAUAGAGGGUGAAAGUCCCGUAAAUGUAACGAAUUGUAAGUAAAAAAUGCUCCUAAAAGAUAUAGUUUAUAUAGAGUCGUACUCUUUGAGAUUGGAGUAUAAAUAUUUCGUGUGAUACAUUUCACAUAAAGCUAAAUAUUAGUAAGAGACCGAUAGCAUACAAGUACCGUGAGGGAAAGAUGAAAUAGCACUCAGGAAUGAGAAUUAAAUAGUACCUGAAAUCGUUAAGAUGGAACGAAAUAAGAGAGGAAAAAUAGAAGUGGGUUGGAUAAUAGUUAGAGUUGUUUCUCUAGUUAGAGUUCCCUUCUCUAGUUAGAGUAUCCUUCUCGAAUUAGAAUUUUGUCUCUAGUUAGAGUUCCCUUCUCUAGUUAGAGUGUUCUUAUCUAUUAAUCUUCACUCCUUUUAAAAAAAAAGCAUCAGCGAAUUGAUAUAGUUAUGCGGGGUGGGCUUUGUAAAAUAUAGAUAAUUAGUGAUAAUAUAUAUAUAUUAUAUUUUAAUAAAUCUUUUCUCUCAUGAUAAGAUUUACAUAGUUUGCACUUAUAAUUAACUAUUAUCAUUUGCUGAGGUAUAAAAAAAGAGGCACUACAAUAUAGUUCAUAUAUAUUUCCCCUUUUUUACGUUGCUUUUAGAAAGUACUUUCUUAUCUCACUCGUCUUGAAACACGGACCAAGGAGUCUAACAAUUGUGCAAGUGUAUAUGUUUCAAUGCUAAACAUGAUUUAUACGCGUAAUUAAUGUAAUCAUUGCAGAAUUAUUUCGUUGCCUUAAAAACAACGAUUUAUGCAUGCAAUACCGGUCUCAUUUUUAUAAGUGGGACUGCGUAAGAGCAUACUUGUUAGGACCCGAGAGGCUUUGAACUAAGCGUGAUGAGAUUGAAGUCUGACGAAAGUCUGAUGGAGGAUCGAAUUGAUACUGACGUGCAAAUCGUUCAUUUCAAUCGCGUUUAGGGGCGAAAGACUAAUCGAAAAGCCUAUUAGCUGGUUAUUUUCGAAAGAUCUCUCAGGAUCGCUGGAGUUUUUUUUUUAGUUUUACCAUGUAGAGAUAAUGAUUAGAGGCAUUAGGAAUAUUGUUAUUCUUGACCUAUUCUCAAACUCCCAAUUGGUAAGAAGAGUAUUCAUAGCUUAUAGCAAUAUAUAUUGUAUGAUUCUCAUUUAAAAUGUUGAACUCCAAGUGGGCCAAUUUUGGUAAGCAGAACUGGCGAUGAGGGAUGCUCCUAACGCCUGGAUAAGGUGCCUAAGUUAUUCGCUCAUUAGAUCCCAUGAAAAGGUGUUAGUUCAUUAUGACAGUAGGACAGUGGUCAUGGAAGUCGAAAUCUGCUAAGGAGUGUGUAACAACUCACCUACCGAAUGAACUAGCCCUGAAAAUGGAUGGCGCUAAAGCGGAUCACCGAUACCAGGCCGUAAAAAAAAGAUCGAUAAUAAUAUAUAUAUUUUAUCGAAUGCAAAUUUUUUACGAGUAGAAAAUCGUAGAGUUUGUUUAAAAGCGAUAUACGUGAGUUGUCGUGGAACAAUUUCUCUAGUGCAGAUCUUGGUGGAAGUAGCAGUUAUUCAAAUGAGAACUUUGAAGACUGAAGUGGAGAAGGGUUUCUUGUCAACUAUGAUUGUACAAGAGUUAGCCGCUCCUAAGGGUUAGCUGAAAAGCGAUAUAAAAAUGAAGUAACUAACUGACAUAUAUGUACGUGGUCAUAGUGAUGUAAACACUUUAGAUCUUUUCAUAAUAGUCGUGUUAGGUAUUUCAACCCGAAAGGGAAACAGAUUAAUAUUUCUGUGCCAAUUUUUAAGAGUAUAAAAUGGCGACAUAAAGAACAAUAUGAACUCCUUUACAUAGGUCUUACAUCCGAGGUGCGUUCUCUUUGCACUUUAAUUUUUAAACCGACUUUGGAAUCAAUUUACUUGGAGAAAAAGUUUGUUAAAAUAGAUAAGAAUGUAAUUAAGUUUUUUUUUUUAUUAAUUAACUUUAACAUCAUUCUUGUCACAUAAUAGUAGUUUUUAUUAUUUAAACUAUUCGGAUUUGUAAGAACUAUCCUUGAAACAAGGAGGGAAAAAUGUGUUUUUAAAAUUAAUAAGUAUAUAAGAGGGAAUUAAUUAGUACAAAAACUGAACAUGUGUUAGCCUUUUUUUGUUACAACUGCUUAGAAAGUUAAUUUUAAAAAUGCAUGAUACUCUUAAAUUAGUACGAGCGUACCGACAACCGCAUCAGGUCUCCAAGGUUAGUAGCCUCUGGUUAAAUAGAAAAAAGUAAGUAAGGGAAG
rnacentral:rRNA from 1 species